UACGUAGGGGGCAAGCGUUGUCCGGAUUUAUUGGGCGUAAAGAGCGUGUAGGCGGCCAGGUAGGUCCGUUGUGAAAACUGGAGGCUCAACCUCCAGCGGUCGAUGGAAACCAUCUGGCUAGAGUCCGGAAGAGGAGAGCGGAAUUCCUGGUGUAGCGGUGAAAUGCGCAGAUAUCAGGAAGAACACCCGUGGCGAAGGCGACUCACUGGACGACUGUUGACGCUGAGGUGCGAAAGCGUGGGGAGCAAACAGG
rnacentral:rRNA from 1 species